rnacentral:pre_miRNA from 1 species
UCCCAAACCAUGACCCUCCAAAGGGAAGUGCUUUCUGUUGUGGGAAAAAUACCAAGGCCUUCCCUUUAGAGUGUUACCGUUGGAGA